UACGUAGGGGGCUAGCGUUGUCCGGAAUCAUUGGGCGUAAAGCGCGCGUAGGCGGCCCGAUAAGUCCGCUGUGAAAGUCAACGGCUCAACUGUUGGAUGCCGGUGGAUACUGUCGGGCUAGAGUACGGAAGAGGCAAGUGGAAUUCCUGGUGUAGCGGUGGAAUGCGCAGAUAUCAGGAGGAACACCUAUAGCGAAGGCAGCUUGCUGGGACGUUACUGACGCUAAGGCGCGAAAGCGUGGGGAGCGAACAGG
rnacentral:rRNA from 1 species